GGCGGCGGGCGAGUUCAGCACCACGGACAGCGCGGCCGGGCUUCAGCACCACGGACAGCACCGGCGUGGGUCCCGGCGUGGGCGAUGGGCGGCUGAGCGGGCCGGUGGUCCAUGAGCGCGAUGCGCCUCUUGCUCCUCGCCGUGCUCGUCUCCUUCUCGUUCGCCCGCGCCGGCUGCGAGCCCAAGAUCGUCAAUAUCGGCGCGGUGCUGAGCACCAAGAAACACGAGCAGGUCUUCCGCGAGGCCAUCAACCAGGCGAACAAGCGCCAUGGCACCUGGAAGAUCCAGCUCAACGCCACCUCCGUCACGCACAAGCCCAACGCCAUCCAGAUGGCCCUGUCCGUUUGCGAGGAUCUUAUCUCCAGCCAGGUCUAUGCCAUCUUAGUGAGCCACCCACCAGCUCCAAAUGACCACCUAACGCCAACGCCUGUGUCAUACACAGCCGGUUUCUAUAGGAUCCCUGUUAUUGGUCUGACAACACGCAUGUCUAUAUAUUCAGAUAAGAGCAUCCACCUGUCCUUCCUGCGCACUGUCCCCCCCUAUUCCCACCAGUCCAAUGUCUGGUUUGAAAUGAUGCGCUAUUAUAAGUGGAACCACAUCAUUCUCAUAGUCAGCGACGAUCAUGAGGGGCGGGCUGCGCAAAAGAAGCUGGAGACCCUCUUGGAAGAAAAAGAAUCCAAGAGUAAAAAAAGGAACUAUGAAAACCUCGAACAACUAUCCUUUGACAACAAGCGAGGACCCAAGGCUGAGAAAGUGCUUCAGUUUGAACCUGGAACAAAAAAUGUGACUUCGCUGCUGCUUGAAGCUAAGGAACUGGAGGCCCGGGUUAUUAUCCUCUCUGCAAGUGAGGAUGAUGCUACAACUGUGUACACGUCGGCAGCCAAAGAAAACAUGACUGGCCCAGGCUAUGUGUGGCUGGUAGGGGAAAGGGAGAUCUCAGGCAAUGCCCUGCGUCAUGCACCAGAAGGGCUUAUUGGUUUGCAGCUUAUGAAUGGGAAGAACGAAUCUGCUCACAUCAGGGACGCAGUGGCUGUGGUGGCCCAGGCUGUUCAUGACUUGUUUGAGAAGGAGAACAUUACAGACCCACCAAGGGGCUGUGUGGGAAACACUAACAUCUGGAAGACAGGGCCUCUGUUCAAGAGAGUGCUGAUGCAGACCAAGUAUGCAGAGGGUGUAACUGGCCGGGUGGAGUUCAACGAAGAUGGAGACCGGAAAUAUGCCAAUUACAGUGUCAUGAAUUUACAGAACAAUAAAUUGGUGCAAGUUGGAGUCUACAAUGGUAGCCACUUCCUGCCCAAUGACCGCAAGAUCAUCUGGCCUGGAGGAGAAACGGAGACACCACAGGGCUACGAAAUGUCAACAAAAUUAAAGAUCGUCACAAUCCACCAAGAGCCCUUUGUCUACGUGAAGCCAACCAUGUUAGAUGGAAAAUGCAAAGCCCUGCUCAACAGUACUGGGGGGCUGGUGCAGCAGGUCCUCUGCACUGGGCCUAAUGAGACUAUGCCAGGACGCCCCAGUGUGAUGCUGUGUUGCUAUGGCUUCUGUAUUGACCUACUGAUCAAGCUUGCUAAGACAAUGAAUUUUACCUAUGAAGUUCACCUUGUAGGCGAUGGUAAAUUUGGCACACAAGAGCGGGUGAACAACAGCAACAAGAAAGAGUGGAAUGGGAUGAUGGGGGAGCUGCUGAGCGGUCAAGCGGAUAUGAUUGUGGCCCCACUGACUAUCAACAACGAGCGAGCGCAAUACAUUGAAUUCUCCAAGCCUUUCAAAUACCAGGGACUCACCAUCUUGGUCAAAAAGGAAAUUCCCCGCAGCACACUGGACUCAUUCAUGCAACCAUUCCAGAGCACUUUGUGGCUUUUGGUGGGGCUUUCGGUGCAUGUGGUAGCAGUGAUGUUGUAUCUCCUUGACCGCUUCAGCCCGUUUGGCCGGUUUAAAGUGAACAGCGAGGAAGAAGAAGAGGAUGCCCUGACACUCUCUUCUGCUAUGUGGUUCUCCUGGGGAGUCCUCCUGAACUCUGGCAUCGGAGAAGGUGCUCCCCGGAGUUUCUCAGCUCGAAUUCUUGGAAUGGUAUGGGCUGGAUUUGCUAUGAUUAUUGUGGCCUCAUAUACUGCCAACCUGGCUGCCUUCCUGGUGUUGGACAGACCUGAGGAACGAAUCACAGGCAUCAAUGAUCCCAGGCUGCGAAACCCCUCGGAUAAGUUCAUAUAUGCUACAGUCAAGCAAAGUUCGGUGGACAUUUACUUCCGCCGUCAGGUCGAGCUGAGCACCAUGUACCGCCACAUGGAGAAACAUAAUUAUGAGAGUGCUGCUGAAGCCAUCCAGGCCGUCAGGGAUAACAAGCUCCAUGCAUUCAUCUGGGAUUCGGCUGUGCUAGAAUUUGAAGCCUCGCAGAAGUGUGACCUGGUGACGACGGGGGAGCUGUUCUUCCGCUCUGGCUUUGGCAUCGGGAUGCGCAAGGACAGCCCUUGGAAGCAGAACGUCUCCCUGGCCAUCCUCAACCUCCAUGAGAAUGGCUUCAUGGAAGAGCUUGACAAGACUUGGGUGAGGUAUCAGGAGUGUGAUUCCCGAAGCAAUGCCCCAGCAACGCUCACCUUUGAGAACAUGGCAGGUGUAUUCAUGCUGGUGGCUGGAGGUAUUGUGGCCGGGAUAUUUUUAAUAUUCAUAGAAAUAGCUUACAAAAGGCAUAAAGACGCCCGGAGGAAGCAGAUGCAACUGGCGUUUGCAGCCGUUAAUGUGUGGAGGAAAAACCUGCAGUCCUCUCUCUCUCUUGUGGCCGUAGGAUUCACCUUCAGAAAAGGCCCCGAGCAUUUUUAUUUAGUGGAUAGAAAAAGUGGUAGAGCAGAACCAGACCCUAAAAAGAAAGCCACUUUUAGGUCCUUCACCUCUACCCUGGCCUCCAGCUUCAAGAGACGUAGGUCCUCCAAAGACACGACAGCCCCGCGAUGUCACCACGCCCAGAAUCCGUGAGCUGCAGAUAAGCCCUGUAGAGAAUCCCCGGCUUCAGGAGCUGCUCAGCACAGGCAGUAUCAGCCCACUGACAUCACUGGGCAGCUCAACCUCUCCGACCCCUCGGUCAGCACCGUGGUGUGACAUCUGGGCGCUGUCACCGCCGGUUGUGGCCAGGCAGACACACCAAGGGAUAGACCAAUGGAGACUCUGACGGGUCCUUCCUGGAUACACCGAAGGAAAGCCUUUGCCAUCCAGCCAAGGUGUAUGCAUUGCUUUCUUCUCUCCAUUGUAGAUCCCCUUCUCUUCCUUGGCCAGCUGACUUCCCAAGUUUGGGAUGAACUACAGAACAUGAGGCCUUGGAGUGGCCAGACCCCACUUUGCAUAGCCGGUGGCCUCCAUUUAUUUCUCUUUUUGACACCAACUGAGACAGAGAAGGUGGCUCCACGUAGCACAGCAAGCAUGCCAAGGAUAUUAGCGCUCAUCGAAGCAGGCUUGGAUCCUUUGCAGUGAGGAGAGAGUCUCUUUAUCAUACAUGCAUGUAUGGAAUGUCAUACGCCUGCCUUAUCCCAUUUUCACACCACGUAAGAGGACUAUGGAGGGGAAUCCGCGUCCCCCUGCACUCACGGGUCCUUGUACAUAGCACACCAUGCAAAGAACAUGCCCAUCUAUACCGCA